rnacentral:rRNA from 1 species
GACGAACGCUGGCGGCGUGCUUAGCACAUGCAAGUCGAACGGAAAGGCCCUGCUUUUGUGGGGUGCUCGAGUGGCGAACGGGUGAGUAACACGUGAGUAACCUGCCCUUGACUUUGGGAUAACUUCAGGAAACUGGGGCUAAUACCGGAUAGGAGCUCCUGCUGCAUGGUGGGGGUUGGAAAGUUUCGGCGGUUGGGGAUGGACUCGCGGCUUAUCAGCUUGUUGGUGGGGUAGUGGCUUACCAAGGCUUUGACGGGUAGCCCGCCUGAGAGGGUGACCGGGCUCAAUGGGCCUGCGGUACGGACCAGAAUCCUACGGGCGGCAGUAGUGGGGAAUAUUGCACAAUGGGCGGAAGCCUGAUGCAGCAACGCCGCGUGCGGGAUGACGGCCUUCGGGUUGUAAACCGCUUUCGCCUGUGACGAAGCGUGAGUGACGGUAAUGGGUAAAGAAGCACCGGCUAACUACGUG